AUUGAACGCUGGCGGCAUGCCUUACACAUGCAAGUCGAACGGCAGCACGGGAGCUUGCUCCUGGUGGCGAGUGGCGAACGGGUGAGUAAUACAUCGGAACGUACCCUGAAGUGGGGGAUAACGUAGCGAAAGUUACGCUAAUACCGCAUAUUCUGUGAGCAGGAAAGAGGGGGAUCGCAAGACCUCUUGCUUUAGGAGCGGCCGAUGUCGGAUUAGCUAGUUGGUGAGGUAAAGGCUCACCAAGGCGACGAUCCGUAGCGGGUCUGAGAGGAUGAUCCGCCACACUGGGACUGAGACACGGCCCCAGACUCCUACGGGAGGCAGCAGUGGGGAAUUUUGGACAAUGGGCGCAAGCCUGAUCCAGCCAUGCCGCGUGAGUGAAGAAGGCCUGGUGUAAGCUCUUCGUGGGAGAA
rnacentral:rRNA from 1 species